CCUACGUGCGGCAGCAGUGAGGAAUAUUGGUCAAUGGGCGCGAGCCUGAACCAGCCACGUAGCGUGAAGGAUGACUGCCCUACGGGUUGUAAACUUCUUUUAUAAAGGAAUAAAGUGAGGCACGUGUGCCUUUUUGUAUGUACUUUAUGAAUAAGGAUCGGCUAACUCCGUGCCAGCAGCCGCGGUCAUACGGAGGAUGCGAGCGUUAUCCGGAUUUAUUGGGUUUAAAGGGAGCGUAGAUGGGUUGUUAAGUCAGUUGUGAAAGUUUGCGGCUCAACCGUAAAAUUGCAAUUGAUACUGGCAGCCUUGAGUACAGUUGAGGUAAGCGGAAUUCGUGGUGUAGCGGUGAAAUGCUUAGAUAUCACGAAGAACUCCGAUUGCGAAGGCAGCUUACUAAACUGCCACUGACAUUGAUGCUCGAAAGUGUGGGUAGCAAACAGGAUUAGAUACCCGUGUAGUC
rnacentral:rRNA from 1 species